UACGUAGGCAGCAAGCGUUGUUCGGAGUUACUGGGCGUAAAGAGUAUGUAGGCGGUUGCGUAAGUUCGGUGUGAAAUCUCCCGGCUUAACUGGGAGGGUGCGCCGAAAACUGCGUGGCUUGAGUGCGGGAGAGGAGAGCGGAAUUCCUGGUGUAGCGGUGAAAUGCGUAGAUAUCUGGAGGAACACCGGUGGCGAAGGCGGCAUCCUGGACCGGUAUUGACGCUGAGGCGCGAAAGCCAGGGGAGCAAGCGGG
rnacentral:rRNA from 1 species